GACGAACGCUGGCGGCGUGCUUAACACAUGCCAGUCGAACGAAGAGCGAUGGAAGCUUGCUUCUAUCAAUCUUAGUGGCGAACGGGUGAGUAACGCGUAAUCAACCUGCCCUUCAGAGGGGGACAACAGUUGGAAACGACUGCUAAUACCGCAUACGAUCUAAUCUCGGCAUCGAGGAUAGAUGAAAGGUGGCCUCUACAUGUAAGCUAUCACUGAAGGAGGGGAUUGCGUCUGAUUAGCUAGUUGGAGGGGUAACGGCCCACCAAGGCGAUGAUCAGUAGCCGGUCUGAGAGGAUGAACGGCCACAUUGGGACUGAGACACGGCCCAGACUCCUACGGGAGGCAGCAGUGGGGAAUCUUCCGCAAUGGACGAAAGUCUGACGGAGCAACGCCGCGUGAGUGAUGACGGCCUUCGGGUUGUAAAGCUCGGUUAAUCGGGACGAAAGGCCUUCUUGCGAAUAGUGAGAAGGAUUGACGGUACCGGAAUAGAAAGCCACGGCUAACUACGUG
rnacentral:rRNA from 1 species